rnacentral:misc_RNA from 1 species
AACGCACAUUGCGCCCCUUGGUAUUCCGAGGGGCAUGCCUGUUCGAGCGUCAUUAUGACCACUCAAGCCUGGCUUGGUAUUGGGGUUCGCGGUUCCGCGGCUCUUAAAAUCAGUGGCGGCGCCAUCUGGCUCUAAGCGUAGUAAUCUUUCUCGCUACAGAGUCCCGGUGGAUGCUUGCCAGCAACCCCUUAUUUUCUUAGGUUGACCUCGGAUCAGGUAGGGAUACCCGCUGAACUUAA